AAUUAGACACAUAAUUGAACGACAAGCCACCUUCUAUGAAUGAACUUUUAGUUACCUCCUACUCUGGCCCUUCCCCUGAUCACUCCUUUCCUCCUCUUUAUUCUCAUACAUUUUUAUCCUCUUUCCCCCUUGAACUUCCCCACAUACCCAAAGACUAUUUGUAAGUCCCUCUGUCCCCAAAUGGCUCUUACCCUACAAAAGUUAGCAGUGCAACAGCUAAAGAGCUUCACCAGGUACAUUGCACCCAACUGAUCAGACAAGAAAGACCUGACCUUGGUACAACAAAGCAUAACCUUUUUACAAAAAGCAAGUAGAUUUCCCAUGUGCAGGGCUAUCACACACACACACACACACACACACACACACACACACACACACCUUAUGGAAAGGUUGAGGACCCUCACUAUUUCAAUAGUAUGGUCUCAGUUUGCUGAGAUCCAGAGAACCAGUUUGAUUCUCUGCCUCAGUUUUCUUACAUGCAGGGUCCUCAGAGGCUAGAAGAGGGCAUUGUACCCCCUGAGACUGUACUUAUAGACAGUUGUGAGGUGCAGCAUGGAUUCUGGAACUGAAUCUAAGCCCUCUGCAAAAGCAGCCAGUUCUCUUAUUUGAAGAACAAUCUCUCCAGCCCCAGAGUUCUAGGUCUUAACUGGACCACUCAUGUCAAAGAGAGCAGAAGACAAAGAAAAAGUGAGAAAGCGAGAGAGCGAGAGCGAGAAAGAGAGAGUCAGUGACAGACAAAAAGAGACAGAGAGACAGGGACAGAAAGACAGAGACAGAGAGAGAUGGGAGAGGGAGGGAGCAAGGGCUGGGCCCUGGGGAGAGAUGUGGAAGGCUUCAGGAGUGAAAUGCAUUGAUAAUGUACUUUAUCCUGGUCUAUCUAGCUGAGCAGACAGCUGCCAUUGUCCAUGACAGGCUAUAACUUUGCAUUCAUCCAGCUGUUUUCUUAUCCUUCAUAUACUUGUAGAUAACCACAUAAUCAUGCCAUAUAAGAUAAGUAAGACCAGAAAACUUUAUGGUUGGCCAAUUUGGACUUUGGUGGAAUUAAAAAUGCUCACAAAAUGAACUUUGGUCUAUUGUCAGUUUCCUAUCUAUGGUCCAUUUCUUGGGAGAAAAAGCACAGCAGCUAUGAUAAACGGUGAUGCAAUAAGCAUUUAUUUCAUGCUAUUUUAUAGCCAUUCUAAUUGCAUUUCAACUUUCAUCCCUUUGGGAGAACACUCAGGAAUGUUGUAGCUUUAUUGUAUAAAAGUUUUGUUUUUCAUUUUUCAAGUAUCUUCUAAUAUGACAUCUAUAACUGAUGGACUAAUUUAUAUUUCUCCAAAAGUGUUAAAAAGCUCUAUAAAGAUGUUGGCAGAAAUUAACAUAUUUUAAAGAGGCACAUGCAUUAACCUCUACCCUCACCACCCCCCCCAUUGAUUAUUAAAUUAUUAGAACAAUGGUUUAUAAAGGAAUUGGAGUUUCGCCUGGAAUCUCUUUCUGAUUGAAGAAGAAUUCUGAAUCCUUAUGCCAGACAAAAGAACAAUUUGUCAUUCAGAAAGAUAUUUCACAGUUCUGACAACUUGUCACAAAACCUUACUGAAAAGACUGGAGCUGAGACAAUGAUCACCAUUGUGACAGGUAUGACCCUUGAUCCUGUUUAUGUACUAUAUUGGACUUACUUAUCUGCAAAUUUUGAAUCAUUAUUGUAUGCCUGGAGUGAAGUCAACUUGAUCAUGUUGGUGAAGAAAUAUGGGAAUAUUUUUAGCCUGAAUCUUGGUGACAUAACUUCAGUGGUCAUAACUGGACUGCCCUUAAUCAAAGAAGCACUUACUCAAAUGGAACAAAACAUUAUGAAUCGUCCUCUAAGUGUUAUGCAAGAACGUAUAUCUAAUAAAAAUGGAUUGAUCUUCUCCAGUGGCCAAAUAUGGAAGGAGCAAAGAAGGUUUGCCCUGAUGACACUGAGGAACUUUGGACUGGGAAAGAAGAGCUUAGAGGAGCGCAUGCAGGAGGAGGCCUCCCACCUAGUGGAAGCCAUAAGAGAGGAGGAAGGAAAACCUUUCAACCCUCACUUCAGUAUCAACAAUGCAGUUUCCAAUAUCAUUUGCUCUGUCACCUUUGGGGAGCGCUUUGACUACCAUGACAGUAGAUUUCAGGAGAUGCUGAGGUUACUGGACGAGGUUAUGUAUUUGGAGACAACAAUGAUUAGUCAGCUGUAUAAUAUUUUUCCAUGGAUAAUGAAAUACAUCCCUGGAUCACAUCAAAAAGUUUUCAGAAACUGGGAAAAACUGAAAUUGUUUGUCUCUUGUAUGAUUGAUGAUCACCGGAAAGACUGGAACCCCGAUGAACCAAGAGACUUCAUUGAUGCUUUCCUCAAGGAAAUGACAAAGUACCCAGAGAAGACUACAAGUUUCAAUGAAGAAAACCUUAUCUGCAGCACUUUGGACCUCUUCUUUGCUGGAACAGAGACAACAUCAACUACAUUACGCUGGGCUCUGCUCUACAUGGCCCUCUACCCAGAAGUCCAAGAAAAAGUACAGGCAGAGAUUGAUAGGGUGAUUGGCCAGAAGAGGGCAGCAAGACUUGCUGAUAGAGAAUCCAUGCCCUAUACCAAUGCUGUCAUCCACGAGGUGCAGAGGAUGGGCAAUAUCAUCCCCUUGAAUGUUCCCAGGGAAGUAGCAAUGGAUACCAAUUUGAAUGGAUUUCAUCUGCCAAAGGGUACAAUGGUUCUAACAAACCUAACUGCACUGCACAGAGACCCAAAAGAGUGGGCCACUCCAGAUGUGUUCAAUCCAGAGCACUUUUUGGAGAAUGGACAGUUUAAGAAGAGAGAAUCCUUUCUGCCCUUCUCAAUGGGAAAGCGAGCUUGCCUGGGAGAACAACUGGCCAGGUCUGAGCUGUUCAUUUUCUUCACUAGCCUUAUGCAAAAAUUCACCUUCAAUCCCCCAAUCAAUGAGAAGCUGAGCCCAAAGUUCAGAAAUGGCCUCACACUUUCUCCAGUCAGCCACCGCAUCUGUGCUGUCCCUAGACAGUGAUGCUGGAGAAGCAAUGAGAAAAGGAAGAUAAGAUGUAAGGCCUGAAGCUUCUGGGUUGCUCACACGAGAGAAGAAAGAUGUCAGAAAAGGAAGGUGAUUCAAGAAGUACUGAAGAAAUGUGGCUUAGAAAAUUGAAGCAAUCUCCUAGAAUAGUAGCCCCUUGAUUUGGUGGUGGGCACAUCAUUUAUGAGCUCAGUGGCAUGCCUUUUCAUCUAAAUGUUUUGAGGAUAAUGGUGAUUCUUCCAAACAAAGUGCAUUAAAUUGAAUUGAAAAUGAAUUAAACAUCAAAAUUAAAACUGUAAUUGUUAUUUAAAAAGUAAAUUUUCUAAGUUCACCCUGAAUCAUAUCUUGACUGGUGUACUAUCAGUUUGCCUCUUUCCUCCUUUCAUGCAUCUGUAUUUGUUUCUUGCCCAUUGAAAUGUUAGCCUAAAGCGGUACAAAGAAAGAAUAAGAAUCAGAUCCGAGCUUCUGAUUGCAUCUACAGAAACAGGCUUUUUUUGAGACUUUCCCAGAUGACAGAUCUGUCACUAACUUCUGUAGAUCUAAAUCUAAAUAGACCUAGAAACCAAUAAAGCAGGAAUGUUUCCCUACUCACAGGCUGGCAAAUAAGUGCUAUAAAACCAUUUGCCUCUUUUUAAAGUUUUUAUUGUUUUAUUGAGAAUUUCAUAUCAUGUACCCCCAUUCAACUUAUGUCCCCCAACCCUUUACCUCAUAUCCACCUCAUAUCCUCCAUCCUUGUAACCUCUGGCAAAAUGUAGACUAAAAUAUAUCAUUGUGGAUGCUGGAGUGUGUCACAGUUUGUCCAACAGUUUACUGCUUUGGAACUGCUCCAUUGUCAAUACUGAAAAAGAUUUCAGUAUUUUAUUUCUUAUUGGGACUCCUCAAGGAUAUUCUUUUGUUGUGCGGUAUCUUGUAUAUUCCGUGGUUUUGAAUGAGUAGGACUGGCCCCUUUAUAUACUACAUGGAUGAGAUAGAUGUGAGACAGGACAGUUCAAAGUCCCAGAUCUGGGCCUGAGAGGUAUUUGAGCUCUCAGGAAUCUACACCUUCUGUGCAAACCCUCCUGCCUUGCCCUAGCUUGACCAAUGUCACUGCCAGCAAGGGGCAGAGCCUACUCCCAUGCCUUUGGGCUGGUUCAUAUGUACCCAUACCAUCAAGUAUAACUCUUCUGUGCUUCCAAGGGGAGCUCGCCCAAGUGUUACAGAAGGAGAGAGGCAGGGGCAUUCUCCAAUAACUUUGAAUCCCAGGGUCAGCUCUCUCAUGUAUGAUCAGUACCAAAAUUAGAUUCUUUUUAUAUAUUGUAGUUUGACAAAAACCUAGGCUAAGUAAUCAUAUCACUUGAAGGAGGUUAGCCAAUGUGGUCAAUGUUAAUAUCAUUUUAAAUGAGUCCUGCUAACUUGUACUCCAUUUUCAAGAUUCUGUUCUGAGAUAAUCACAAAUCCUCUGUCUCUAUAUGAUUUGAUUGUGUACCUUAGCAGGUUUUGUGGGGACACCAAACAGUAGAAGUCAAGGUGUCUCUUUUAACUGAUCUUAGAAUCUUUUGCCUCCUACUGACUAGGCUCCAUCCAGCAUUGAUUGGAGGACUUGUGCUUAGUCUUAGUGUAAUGUCCUAAUGCCAUGUUCAGUUGAUAGCUCUGGAGGCCAGCUCUUUUCAGGAAGCAAAUUGAGGAGAGGUAGAUCUGAGGAAGAACAAAGAUGAGGAAGAGACUGUGACAAUAGGAGGGAGGGGAAACUAUGGUCAGAAUGUAAUGUAUAAGAGAAUAAUAAGUCAUAAAUUCACUAGUUAAUUAAUUUACUAAAUAAUGAAAACCUCUUCUACAAAAAUACACAAUGCCUUUCUUGUACUGAGACAUGAUAUUACAGGUUUUAAUAAAGAAAACCUCACCUGUGA